rnacentral:rRNA from 1 species
UACGGGGGGAGCAAGCGUUGUUCGGAUUUACUGGGCGUAAAGGGCGCGUAGGCGGCCAGCACAAGUCAGUUGUGAAAUCUCCGAGCUUAACUCGGAAAGGUCAACUGAUACUGUGCGGCUAGAGUGCGGAAGGGGCAACUGGAAUUCUUGGUGUAGCGGUGAAAUGCGUAGAUAUCAAGAGGAACACCUGCGGCGAGGGCGGGUUGCUGGGCCGACACUGACGCUGAGGCGCGAAAGCUAGGGGAGCAAACGGG